rnacentral:rRNA from 1 species
GACGAACGCUGGCGGCGUGCUUAAUACAUGCAAGUCGAACGCAGUUGCGAACGGGUGAGUAACGCGUAGGUAACUGCCUCAUAGCGGGGGAUAACUAUUGGAAACGAUAGCUAAUACCGCAUAUUUGGAGAUGGACCUGCGUGGUAUUAGCUAGUUGGUGAGGUAAAGGCGCACCAAGGCUACGAUACAUAGCCGACCUGAGAGGGUGAUCGGCCACACUGGGACUGAAAGACGGGCCAGAUGCCAACGGGAGGGCGCAGUAGGGAAUCUUCAGAAAUGGACGUGAGUCUGACCGAGCAACGCCGCGUGAGUGAAGAAGGUUUUCGGAUCGUAAAGAUCUGUUGUUAGAGAAACGGUAACUAACCAGAAAGGGACGGCUAACUACGUGCCAGCAGCCGCGGUAAUAC